AACGAACGCUGGCGGCAUGCCUAACACAUGCGAGUCGAACGAGACCUUCGGGUCUAGUGGCGCACGGGUGCGUAACGCGUGGGAACCUGCCCUUAGGUUCGGAAUAACUCCCCGAAAGGGGUGCUAAUACCGGAUAAUGUCUUCGGACCAAAGAUUUAUCGCCUUUGGAUGGGCCCGCGUUGGAUUAGCUAGUUGGUAGGGUAAAAGCCUACCAAGGCGACGAUCCAUAGCUGGUCUGAGAGCAUGAUCAGCCACACUGGGACUGAGACACGGCCCAGACUGCUACGGGAGGGAGCAGUGGGGAAUAUUGGACAAGGGGCGAAAGCCUGAUCCAGCAAUGCCGCGUGAGUGAUGAAGGCCGUAGGGUUGUAAAGCUCUUUUACCCGGGAUGAGAAUGACAGUACCGGGAGAAUAAGCGCCGGCUAACUACGUG
rnacentral:rRNA from 1 species